AAAUAUGCCUUACUAUGGUAUGUCAGAAAUAUUGGUUGAUUCUCUUCCGAAAAAUAUGCCCUGCUAUAGUAUGUCAUAAAAAAUAGUUCUGAACCUCUCCUGCAAAAUAUGCCUUACUAUAGUGUUGGUGAAAAGGUGUUAGUGUGACCUGCGAAAUAUGCCUUACUAUAGUAUGUCGUGAAAAGGUGUUAGUGUGACCUGCAAAAUAUGCCUUACUAUAGUAUGUCAUAAAAAUUGAUUGACCCUCUUCCGUAAAAUAUGCCUUACUAUAGUAUGUUGUGAAAAGGUGUUAGUGUGACCUGCAAAAUAUGCCUUACUAUAAUAUGUCAUAAAAAUUGGUUGACCCUCUUCCGUAAAAUAUGCCUUACUAUAGUAUGUUGUGAAAAGGUGUUAGUGUGACCUGCAAAAUAUGCCUUACUAUAGUAUGUCA